GGCGGUGGCUUGUACGCCGUCCCUCUCCCCGCGUCGUUAUUGUUGUUAUUAUUAUUGUUGUUGUUAUUAUUAUUAAUUAUUACUGCUUCCCCCCCCCCCCCAAGUCCCGUGCCCAAGCGGCGUCGGGAGAGCUCCGAGGAAAGGUAGAGAGAAAAAAUGUCUUAUCCAGAGCGUGACUCUAGCAAGAAGGCUCCGACAGGACUCUUGUUU